GGCCGUCUAGCUCAGUUGGUUAGAGCGUCGUGCUAAUAUUCGUAACAUCGAAUCCAUAUUACGCGAAGGUCUUGGGUUCGACCCCCACGAUGGCCA